AUCUCCGGCAUAAGAAGACUUUGGGUAAUGAUAACAGCUACUUUGUUUUGUUUUUGGUUUUGUUUUUGUUUUAAUUUUUUUUAAUGUUUAUUUAUUUUUGAGAGAGAGAGAGAGAGAGAGAGAGAGAGAGAGAGAGAGCAGGGGAGGGGUAGAGAGAAAGAGAGCACACUUUGUAUUGAAUAUUUACCAUGUUUUAGGCUCUAUUCUAAGCACAUCAUGUAUAAUAGUUCACUGAAUCCUCACAGCAAACCUGUAAAGACCAUGCUAUCACUAUCCCCAUUUUACAGAUUAGGAAACUGAGGCCCAGAGAGGUGAAUUAAUUUCCCUAGAUUCACUAAGGAUUCUAAAUCAGGUUUGGUCAAGAAGUCCACACUCUAACCCUUACAUUAUAUUCUCUUUUUUAAACUAAUGCCAGAAUAUGUCACAUUAUCUUUUAAAAUGAAUAAGCCAUUUGCUUCAGCAAUUCCACCCUAGGAACUGAGCCUAAGGAGGUAUAAGCCUUCAGUGGCAGAGAUGCAUUAUUAUUUAAAAUGUAGAACACAACCGGCAUCUCCAUGAAGAGGGGUUAUUUAAAUAGGUUGUGGUUCCUGCGUAUAAAAAGAGCUGUUCAGAAUGACAUUAUCCAUAUGUACCAACAUGGAAACACAUCUACACUACAUUUUUAAUAGAAAAGUCCAAGAAAUUGCAUUUUUAUAAACAGCGAUUUGGUUUGAACAAUGGGAUUGCUAAUGAUUUUUAAUUUCUUCUUUUGGCUGGCCUACAGUCUCUAGUUUUCCUACAACGAACAUGUACUACCUUUGUAAUAAGCAAGAAACCCAAUAAAAUUUAUUGGAUAAAAGAAUAAACAGCUGGAAAUCAUUCUCUCCUGAGGAAUUAGCAUCUUGUCUGACGACAAGGGCUACAGUUGCUUUGCUGGAACCUUCCAUCUAUCUCUCAGGAUCUGCUCUCAGCCAACGGGGAGACGAUGCAGAUGGAGGAAACAAUGCCUAAGAUGAUUGAGCCAUGAGUCCAGAACAGACGAGGAGCCACAACCCAAGCCCAGCUGAUCGUUUGCCAAACCCCACAGGCUUCCAUUUUGCACAGGACCUUAUGCUGGCUCUGCCCAGUUGUCCUAUCGCCACCUUCCCCACCCGCUCUCUUCUCUCUUCUCUGCCAACGAAAACAUAAUAAGGCCAUUUAUGUAAUUUUACAUUUUCUAGUAGCCACAUUAAAAAGCAAGUGAAAACAGGUGAAAUCA